CCUGCCCGCGGGCGAGCCGGCGCUUCAGCUUGUCGGCCCCGAGCCUGCGCAGUGGCAUGUGAAAGAACAUUGGCUUGUUCCACCUAUCACCUUAUCUUCUGAAGACCACGUAUUUGAAAAGUUAGAAGCAAUUAUUGAUGAGGAGAAUGACAUGCUUGAUCUGGCCUGUGGACUAACCAUCAUGUAAGAUUUUAGGACUAUUAGAGGUCUGAAUAAAAGUCAUCUAGGUGGUGCAGUGAAUGGAGAGCUGGACCU